rnacentral:rRNA from 1 species
AGAGUUUGAUCAUGGCUCAGAACGAACGUUAGCGGCGCGCCUAACACAUGCAAGUCGAACGCGACAGGGGCAACUCUGUUGAGUGGCGCACGGGUGAGUAACACGUAGGUAAUCUCCCCUCGAGUGGUGGAUAACCUUCCGAAAGGAGGGCUAAUACAGCAUAAGACCACGGUGUCGAAAGACAUUGAGGUCAAAGCGGAGGAUCGCAAGACUUCGCGCUUGAGGAUGAGCCUGCGGCCCAUCAGGUAGUUGGCGGGGUAAAGGCCCACCAAGCCUAAGACGGGUAGCUGGUCUGAGAGGAUGAUCAGCCACACUGGAACUGAGACACGGUCCAGACUCCUACGGGAGGCAGCAGUGGGGAAUCUUGCGCAAUGGACGAAAGUCUGACGCAGCGACGCCGCGUGGGUGAUGAAGGCCUUCGGGUUGUAAAGCCCUGUGGGGAGGGACGAAUAAGUUGCAGCUAAUACCUGCAGCGAUGACGGUACCUCCUUAGCAAGCACCGGCUAACUCUGUGCCAGCAGCCGCGGUAAGACAGAGGGUGCAAACGUUGUUCGGAAUUACUGGGCGUAAAGCGCGUGUAGGCGGCUAUGCAAGUCGGAUGUGAAAGCCCUCGGCUCAACCGGGGAAGUGCACCCGAAACUGCAAAGCUAGAGUCUCGGAGAGGAUCGUGGAAUUCUCGGUGUAGAGGUGAAAUUCGUAG